rnacentral:sRNA from 1 species
GGCCACAUCUUCCCUGCCAUUUUAAGACCAUGUGCGGGCCCUAUCAUGAAGCCAAAAGUCAGAUAGGUAAGCCAAAACCUUCUUGGUCGAUUGGAAGUUAGUAACGACGCGUUAUCUUUGCGUAGAAAGUAUCGCUCCCCAUUAGCUCUAUUAUUGGUUGCUUUUUGGCUUUUUUUUUUCUUUUUUCUUUCCCCCCCACUGUUGCCGCAUUCCUUGUGACUUCACGGGCCAGUUGUGGGGACAGGUUCGAAUAUCCAACAUGUUGAAUUAAGAAAGCUGUGGCACAGGUUUGGUAACAUGCUCCUGAGCACCGAGGAACCAAAGC